GAGGCUGCAUGUCAGAAUGCCUGAGGACAGCCUGGCUGCAGAGCCAUUUAUCACCUGCAGCAAUUCCAGGAAUGUGGAAAUAGGCCAAAGUCAGAAAAGCUUGGAGGGUGGGAGGCCAAGAGAUCCCCCCAACCCCUUUUUUCAAGAAGUAGAGAAGCCCAGAGCCUUGGCACCUGGGAUGUGUGUUACCUGAAGAAUCAGACUCAUGGAGCGUGGGCUAACUUUUGCUUUUAGAGGAUGCCCACCACGUGCCUGGCACUGUGCAGUGAACUUCACACCUGGCCAUCUGGGGCUAAAGCUUGUGCAGUGAUGCCCUGUGCUUUCUUCAAACCUGAGCCAGGCUGGGGCCAAGCUGUCUGCCUAACACCCUGCAUAGCUCCCGCCUGCUGAGAGGAAAAGUGGAAUUCUCACAGAGGCCACAGCCCUGACUGAGCCAGGUCUCCUCCAGUCUCCCUCCUGCUCACUCUGCUCCAGCUGCUGCCCUGAGCCUGCCUCAGGGCCUUUGCCCCUGCUGUUUCUUCUGCCUGGGGUGGGGAAGGAACCUCAAGCCAAGGCGUCCAGGAGCUGAACAAGGCAAGGACACAGCUUCUCCCCUUGGAGCCUCAGAGGAGCUGACCCUGCCCACACCAUGACUUCAGCCCGGUGAAACUGAUAACAGACUUUUGGCCUCCAGAACUCUCCAGUACCCCGUGCUGAGGCCCCACACAGGCCUGUCCCUUUGACAGAAGGGCCCGAGGUGCAGGGUUGGGCACGUGGCCAGGAGGGCUGCCCAGCGGUGCCCUGAAGAGGAGCAGGGCAGGAGGGGGCUGGGCUGGGCCUGGCCGGGCCUGGCUCUCGGCGUCUUCACUUUUUCUGUCCCCGCGCCCCUCAAGCUGUCCAAACACCGGCCAGGCGCCCAAGGAGCACUCCCGAGGAUCGGCCCUGGGAAAGGUUGGCUGUCUGCAGUGUGCGGUUGGAGGAAGUGGCCCUUGUUUGCUUCCCCGCAACCCUAGGAGCUUCCUUCCCUCUGCGUCUUUGCUUUGCUUUCUUGCGGCUGCCUGCUGUGGAGGGCUGGCCGCCCGGUGGACCUGGGCCCUGGGGCCCCGGAUGCUUCCAAACCUGGAGAAACACCCAGAACAACAGCUCUGUCCCAGGCCUCUGCUCCCAGGAUUGACUCUUGGACUCAUCGCAGUUGAAGCUCAGGACAAAGCCACCAAAGCCAGCAUGAGCUACACACCCACUGUGUCCUGGACCCCGCUUCAGUGCUCCCUGAAUGCUCUCACGACACCACGAGCCCAGACAUUCUCUCCCCAUUUGCAACCCAGGAAACUGAGGCAGGGAACUGGCAGGCAAUGUGCCCAGGUUCUGCAAACUACUCAGAGUUAGACUUGGUCUUCAGUAGCCUCGCUCCGAAAACUCCUGCCCUGUGGGGCCGCCCUAGAGCUUUAACAUAGAAUGAGAGGCUCAGAAUCACCAGAUCAGAGCAUUGAAAAACAGAAUCACAGAAUCCAGGAAUCUGAUUAUGGAAAUUCUCAACAGUAUUACAGGAUCUUGUAAUGAAAUCAGAUUCUUAGAUUCUCUGGCUCAUCACAUUUCAUUGUCAAAAGAGACCCUAAAUGUUCUAUGGUCACCCCUCCUUCUCCGCCCCUUUGCCAAUGCAUUUCCUUGCAACCCCCAGCACAGGGCUCCCCCAGCCCGCCCAUCCUAUAGCGCUGUGGUUAGAAUUGUCUUCCUGCUUCCUCCACAGCCCCCCUUCCGUCUUCCAGCCCCCUCUGAUCAUCUCUCCUCUUCCUACUUGCCUGCAUAAAUUAGCACCCCAGCCUCUGAACAUCUGGUGACAAACAGUGGCACUGAUUCUAAAAGGCUGUGUAUUUCUUGUAUGGAUUUCACAGGGCCGUCUCUGAGGGAUGGAUGGGGAAAUUUCAUCUUCAAGCUGUUUGUUUGGCUCAGGGUUGCUCUAGUUCCCCCAGGCAGGCUCUGGGAGAGGGAACUUCAGCUGCGAAGGAACCUCACGCAGCUCUCAGCCAGGAUCGGCCCCUAAAAGUUUGUAUGAAGAUAAAAUCUGCUAGUGGGAACAAAUGACAGGUAAUCCUGGGCACCCGGCGUUCGAUGGAGAAACGCCGCCUGCAGCAUCCUCGUGGGUGGUGGUCUGAAGCCCCUUGCAUCUCUCCAGCAAAGGAAAGCUCACUACCUCCCCUGCUCUAUGGGGUUUAUCCAGGGCCCUGGUAUAGAAUGCACGAUGCUCCAGCCCCCAGGUGCUGACACCCUCUGUUGAGUAGAGUCAGAGGGGGCAUCUCUUUUGACAGGGAAUCUAACAAAAAUGUAAAAACCACCACUGUCUGGCCCCAAAACCCCACUUUGAGGAGCCAAUCUUACAGCAACAUUUGUGCAAAAGAUAUGUUCAAGGAUCUUUGCUACGAUGUCGUUUGUGGUGGUGGCAAACACAUAGAAUCUCAUUCAAUGUCCAUAAAUAGGAGACUGAUGAAAUACAUUUGGAUACCUUCAGGCUGUGAAAUACUCUGACUGUUAAAGAGAAUGAGGAGUGUUUAUUUGUGCUUCUUCUGACGUUCAGAAAACAACUUGUAAAACAGUCAUACAAUGGGAAUAUGUAUGUAUAUGUUUAUAAUUCACAUAGGCAAAACUGAUCAUAGUGGUUACUUCUGGGGAGCAGGAUUUUGGAGAUGAGUGUAUUUUAACCCUUCACUUUAGAUACUUCUGCAUGUUUUUAAAC
rnacentral:lncRNA from 10 species